rnacentral:misc_RNA from 1 species
GUGAAUCAUCGAAUUUUUGAACGCAAAUUGCACUCUCUUCUGAGAGGAUGCCUGUUUGAGGGUCAGUAUUAAUAAAAAUCGGUGUGUUGCGUCUUUGUGACGCUCCGGAGUUUGAUUCAUCUUAAUAUCCUUUAGGUUUUGAGAGGCUUAAAAUUGACUUUUUUUGCUCAUUUUAGAUGUACAUAAAUUUUUUUGUUUUUUCUGCUGUCUUAAUUUUCAAAAGCCUAUUAGAUGCGACCAUAUCGGGUU